CCUAGAAAUCCUUAAAAAGGGACAGAGCUCCCAUCUCAGUUCCCUUCCUCAGCUCCUUAUCAACUUGUUGUAGAACUUGCAACCACAACCCACCAGACUUGACAAAGACCAUAGAUCACUCAGACAAAUUCACAGCUCUGACAGCACCCUCAGCCUAACAUGCAAUGACACACCACUGUUAACAAAUCACCAACGCCACAUUCUCACCAAGAUGACAUCUUGGAAGACAACCAAAGCAAUUUGUUUGAAACAAAUGAACAUUUUUAUCUCUUCUCUGUUCCAGGAAGAAGAGUAAAUGUCAACCACACAACGAACAGCAAAUAAGCAAAUGGCUUAACUGGAUAUCAGCCUGAAGAUGACAUCAGCAACAUCACUGUUUUCUCCCAUCAGAACCACACACACAUUGACAAGGGCGAGGAGGUGCAUUCACAAUCAAAUGUUGAUUGAGUACAAAAAAAUAUAGACGUAGCAUACUACUCCAGAAGACAAAGCCAGCGGCAAACAACCAAUACCAAUGCCAUAGUAUAUUCAAGAACAAAAAACAUUAGCUU
rnacentral:lncRNA from 1 species